AUAAUAUCCGUCAGCUUACUAUUUAAUAUUGCUGUUGUCAUAAUGUAAGCUUAAUAUCCAGUAUAGUACAGUAAAUUGUGUCCUGUUGUAUAAUUUGAUUCAAUUGAACCUUAUUAUGAAUGUUAGGCUAAUUAAGAUUGAAGGCAACAGAUAGUAUCAAUAUAAACCAACUUGUAUGAGACAACCAGGAUGUCCGAACAACACCAGCAGUUACAACUUUUAUCAGAUAAUGAGGAAACAGAGGAUAUCGAUAAGGAUAAUGGAGAAUUGGAAUUUGAAUAUUGUAGCCACAAGAAAGAGAGGAAAAAGAAAAAAGCAAAAGGAGGAACUACCGAAGCCACAGAUGCAAAAAUUCCGUCGAAUUUAAACAAGUUUCAGGCCAUGUCAUGUCCUAAUUUAGCAAUUUGUGGUACAGAUGGGAGUUCUGCUGGUAUCAUUAGAGGCACGCCCCACGGAAACGAAACUCACAAUACGUUCCAGCUAAAGGACAUCACAGUGGACUCAUGUGAAUUUCGAUUGGUCUGUGAGAAAUGCUUUACGUUUACUGGUAUUCCAGGAAUGUAUACAUAUAAUGAAAUAGAUGGACAUUCCUGUCUUUUCAAUAAGCUUGCGGCAAAACAUAAACGGG